UGGACGACGCUGGCGGCGUGCUUAACACAUGCAAGUCGAACGGUGACGAGGAGCUUGCUCCUCUGAUCAGUGGCGAACGGGUGAGUAACACGUGAGCAACCUGCCCCAGACUCUGGGAUAACAGUUGGAAACAGCUGCUAAUACCGGAUACGAGACGGAGAGGCAUCUCUACCGUCUGGAAAGUUUUUCGGUCUGGGAUGGACUCGCGGCCUAUCAGCUAGUUGGUGAGGUAAUGGCUCACCAAGGCGACGAUCUGUAGCGGGUCUGAGAGGAUGAUCCGCCACACUGGGACUGAGACACGGCCCAGACUCCUACGGGAGGCAGCAGUGGGGAAUAUUGCACAAUGGGCGAAAGCCUGAUGCAGCGACGCCGCGUGAGGGAUGACGGCCUUCGGGUUGUAAACCUCUUUCAGCAGGGAAGAAGCGAAAGUGACGGUACCUGCAGAAGAAGCACCGGCUAACUACGUG
rnacentral:rRNA from 1 species